rnacentral:rRNA from 1 species
GACGAACGCUGGCGGCGUGCCUAAUACAUGCAAGUCGAACGCAGUGGGGACGGGCGAGUAACACGUCGGUCACCUCCCAUCAGAGCGGAUAACACUUGGAAACAGGUGCUAAACCGAUACUGAUAGCUAGAACCGCGGUGUAUUAGCCAGUUGGUGAGGUAACGUCUCACAGAGGCCACGGUGCAUAGGCGACCUGAGAGGAUGAUCAGCCACACUGGAACUGAGACACGGCCCAGACUCCUACGGGAGGCAGCAGUGGGGAAUCUUCGACAAUGGACGAAAGUCUGACCGAGCAAUGCCGCGUGAGUGAAGAAGGCUUUCGGAUCGUAAAACUCUGUUGUUGGGGAAGCGGUAUCUGACGAAAAAGCAACGGCUAACUACGUGCCAGCAGCCGCGGUAAUAC